AAGGGAGGUGUAAAAUUGUUCUCACCCUGUGAAAAUAAUCUAAAAUGUGGAAACUUUUUUUCUGGGAAACAACAAAAUGUUCACAUGAGCAUCUUUAAUGCAGCAGGGCAUCCCCCAUUCAGACACCAGGUCCAAGAUUGGCUGUUUAUAGAAAGAUGGCCUAUAAUCUUCUGGACAUUUAUCUGCUCUAAUUUAUAUACAUAAAGGAGCAGAGGGUGUUUUGGGGUUGGUUGGUGGGGCGGGGGGUUUGCUGAAGGAAAUAUAAGAAAAUGUGUGUUUGUGCGUGUGUGUGCAUGUGUUUGAGUGGGAAUGAAGGAACUGAUCUAGUGUGUCUGUUCAGGGCCCAGGCACUCAGAUUACUCUUUUUCCCCCUCAGUAUAACUCAAUGAGAUUUGAGUGAAAAAGAUCAAUCUCUGGAGAAGUGUUCUGUUUUCUUAUUUGCUUUGUUUUAUUUUUCUUGUGAAAUACAUUGUAAAUGAAAAGCAUAUAAGUAAUGCAUAUUAACAAUUUAAAUAAUUAUUUUACAAAGAAAACCUGUGUACUCGGCAGCCAACUUAAGAAACAGAAACUUUGAUGGCAGAGGUGGGCGGAUUACUUAAGACCAGGAGUUCGAGACCAGCCUGGCCAACAUGGUGAAACUCCAUCUCUACUAAAAUUACAAAAAUUAGCUGGGUGUGGUGGUGCAUGCUUGUAAUCCCAGCUACUUGGGAGGCUGAGGCAGAAGAACCACUUGAACCCAGGAGGCUGAGCUUGCAGUGAUCUGAGAUCCUGCCACUGCACUCCUGCCUUGGCAACAGAAUGAGACACUGUCUCAAAACAAAACAAAAAAAGAAAUAGAAACUUUGCAUCUUUCUCUCCCAUUCCAAUUAAUUACUAUACUGAAGUUUGUAUUAGUAAAUCCUUUGAUUUUCAUUAGUUUGUGUAUCCUUAUUGCUUAAGCAAUAUAUUGUUUAGUUUUGCCUCUUUUUUACCUUUACUGUAUUUUUACUCUUACUAAAUAUAUAUUUCUAUGUCUUGCUUUUUACACUCAAUAUUGUUUGAAGCUUGUCUGUGUUGAUGCAUGUAACUGUAGUCUGCCCAUUUUCCUUGAUGGAUAGCAUUCCGAUAUGUAAAUUACCAACUUGCUCGGAGGUGCAGCCAUUAAAUCCUCAUUUUGAGCAAUCACCCCAAGUAAGACUGAUGCAGGUGGACUUUUGCUCACACUUCGGGAAUUACUGUCUUAGAGGACACAGUCCGAGCUCUUACCUCCCAGUUUCCCAAGUCUCUACAUCAGCCUUUUAAUUUUAGUAGAACUGUUUGUUUUCCUUUUCCAAAAAUAUUUUCUCAUCAUUCUUCGCCUAGAUAAUUCUUAUGCUUUAAGUCUCUCCAUUAAGCUAUAAACUCCUCCAAACAUUGUCAUUAUUAUCAUUGUUGUCACUGACAUUUAUGGAGCAGAUACAGUGUACCAGGUAGUUAGUACAAAGAGUUUUACAUGGAUCAUCUCAUUAAUGCUCGUCCAAACCCAUGAAAAAGGUGCUGGGAUUAGCAUCAUUUUACAGAUAAGGAAGUAAGGGUCAGAGAGAUUAAGUAACUUGCCCAAAGUUAAACAGCUCUGGAAUGUGGAUCUCUUUAACUAUCUUACUUGUCUCUGAACCUCUAGGAUCUAGGGUAGGACUUUGGUGUGUGGAAGGCACUUGAUUAAUGUCUGUUGAGCUGCACUGAAAGGAAAAGCCAAGGAGACCAGAUGGAAAACAAUCCGUUUAGUUCAGAUGAUGGCAGUGGGGAUGGAAAAGAGGAGCUGGAAAUAAGACUUGGCAUGACAGACUAUUACAUAGCUGAAUCUGGGGCGUGAGGUUAGGGCAGGGAAUGAGGAAGGGACAAGGCAUUUCCAUUUUUUCACUUUGAGCACUUCUGUAUUUUCUGGAAAUGUUUACAACAAGCACGUGGUGCUUUAAUAAUUUUUUUUAAAGAAGAGAAAGUGUAGAGGCAGCAACUACAUGACUAGGCACCAGCAAAAUAUAGAAAAAAAAGGACAAAAAGAAAUCCAAGCUGACCAGCAGGCUUCUGGCAAGGCAAUGUAGGAGAAUGGGGAAUUGAAGGCAGAAAGAGAAAUGCCUGGGGGAAUGCUUCCGGGGGAGAUACUGACUGUAAUUUGGAGAGUCUGCUUUUGGGAAGCAGCAGGUCAUUCUGGGGAGGUCUCCACCAAGUAGCUAGACUUGUAGGUCUGAAAUUCAGGAGAGAGGUUGAGCCAGACCCAUGCUCUGAGAAAUGAUGGUUGAAGUCAUAAGCUAAAUGUGCGGAGCAAAAAAGAAAGAAGAAAGAAGACCUCAACCAAAGUGUUGACAGGGUCAGGCAUAUCUGAGUGGAAGAAGAAGAGGAGCCAGGGAAGGUACUUGAAGAGGAGCAGCCAGAAAUGUAGGAGAAUCAUCUCUCAACCUCAUAGUCACCAAUGGAAAAGAUAAUUUUUUUAAAAAGGCAUAUGGGCCUGGUGCAGUAGCUCACACCUGUAAUCCCAGCGCUUUGGGAGGCCAAGGUGGGAGAGUUGCUUGAGGUCAGGAGUUCAAGACCAGCCUGGGCAACAUAGGGGAACCCUGUCUCUAGCAAAGUUAUUAUUAUUAUUAUUAUUAUUAUUAUUGGAGAUGGAGUUUCGCUCUUGUCACCUGGGCUGGAGUGCAAUGACACGAUCUCAGCUCACUGCAACCUCCGCCUCCCAGGUUCAAGUGAUUCUCCUGCCUCAGCCUCCCGAGUAGCUGGGAUCACAGGCGCCCACGACCACGCCUGGCUAAUUUUUGUACUUUUACUAGAGACGGGGUUUCACCAUAUUAGCCAUGCUGGUCUCAAACUCCUGACCUCAGGUGAUCCACUCGCCUGGACCUCCCAAAGUGCUGGGAUUACAAGCAUGAGCCACCACACCUGGCCUCUACCAAAAAUUUUAAAAGGCCGGGCUUGGUGGCAUGUGCCUGUAGUCCUAGCUGUUACUCAGGAGGCUGAGACAGGAGGAUUGCUUGAGUCUGGGAGGUUGAGGCUGCAGUGAGCCAUGAUCGCACCACUGCUCUCCAGCCUCAGCAAAAGAAUGAGACCCCAUCUCUAAAAAAUAAUAAACAUAUGUAAAUGGCAUCAAACAGUAAAGAGUUGUUGAAUCAGAAGAAGACUAACAAGAGGCCUUCAGAUGUGGAAAUUAAGUCUUUUUUUUUUUUUAAGAGACAAGUUCUAGCUCUGUCACGCAAUCUGGAGUACGGUGG
rnacentral:lncRNA from 10 species